GUUUCUCUUAGAAGAAAAAAUAACUCCCCACUCCCCAGUUCCCCUCAACUCUCUUCUUCCUCUUCUUCUUCGACCAUGUAUCUCAGAAAAAAAAACCCAUACUUCAGAUCUCUCUACACCUAAAAGGAAAUCCUGCAAGUUCGAAGUAAAAAAAUCAAAUAAUUUCUUCAUUUGCUGUAAUACUUCAUUGAUUUAUAUAGCUCGGGUUGUAUUUCCACCAAGAUUGAAAGAAUUCUAUACUCGUUCCUUUAAUUUGUUGGAAAUUACAAACUGAAAUUGGGAUCAUAUUUUGUGGUAAAUCAAUCAAAUACAUUACGUAGAAACAGGAUAAAGAAAUCUGAUUGGGAUAAUCCAUGGCCAUGCUUCCAAAAUUCAUUGGAGGUUUGUAUUUUUCUUUUCCAUUUUCUUCAUGCUUAUGGAGUAAAGAAGAUAAGUAGACUAUUUGAACUUAGAAAAAUAUAGGUACAUCGCUAUUCACAAUAUUCAAUCAAUUAUGCGAUCAAAUGUUAUCGCUGAGUUCUUUUUAAUUUUGGUGUAGCACUAUAAUGGAUUAUUUUUUGAUCAGUAAUUGAGUGAUUGUAAUUUUGUUGUUUCAUGUGAUUUUAGUUAUGUAGUUUUGUAGUGCAUAGGUUAGUUGUAGUUAUGUCAAUUACCAUGUGGGAUUUUUAUGGAGCAAUAAAUCACUUAUCAAGUAUGAUGCCAUGGUAUUAGAAAGGUCUGAGUGCAUUCCUAAGUUACGCCUGCACCCAUGGUAAGAUCAGGUAGCAGAUGGACAGAAGCCCGGGGGAACUGAGCAUAACCACAGGCCGAUGAGAUUAAGCUGGUCGCAUAUGCUGGUGGCGGCAUGGAAUGAUUGAACCCUGAGGAAGAGCAAUGGAAGUAGUUUAUGAGCUUAGAGUUCCUAAACAACAAUGGAGAAAAUAAUUUCACUCUAAAGAUCUGAAGGGGUAACAACCAAGUCUGAUUGGGUUGAAAUUCAGGAAAGUACUCUUAAUGCUGCUUGGGAGGUCUAGUGAUGGCAGUAGAAAAUCCUACGACGGACCUCUUGACUAUAAAAGUAAAGGAAGCAGCCCAAGGACGGGAACUCGUGCCAACAUAAUAUUGAUUGGAGUAUAUUUACGCCUGAACUUGUUCCAAUUCUAGAACCUCAUGUCAGUCGUGUAUUUUUCUUUGUUUCGAUAUCAUGAAUUGGCGAUUAUAUUACUUUACUUGGUCGUUUAUUUCUGUUUUGAAUCUUCUACAUGUAUUUGAGUGUCUUCGAUAAUUGAAUGAAAGCUUUUAAUAUUUUUUUCCCAA